rnacentral:rRNA from 1 species
GACAGAGGGGGCAAGCGUUGCUCGGAAUCACUGGGCGUAAAGGGCGCGUAGGCGGGAUGGCAAGUCAGUCGUGAAAUCCCCCGGCUUAACCUGGGAACUGCGUCUGAUACUGGACGGCUUGAGUAUGGGAGAGGGAUGUAGAAUUCCAGGUGUAGCGGUGAAAUGCGUAGAUAUCUGGAGGAAUACCGGUGGCGAAGGCGGCAUCCUGGACCAUUACUGACGCUGAGGCGCGAAAGCUAGGGGAGCAAACGGG